CCUACGGGGGGCAGCAGUGGGGAAUAUUGGACAAUGGGGGCAACCCUGAUCCAGCCAUGCCGCGUGUGUGAAGAAGGCCCUCGGGUUGUAAAGCACUUUCAGUGAGGAAGAACGCCUUGUGGUUAAUACCCAUCAGGAAAGACAUCACUCACAGAAGAAGCACCGGCUAACUCCGUGCCAGCAGCCGCGGUAAUACGGAGGGUGCGAGCGUUAAUCGGAAUUACUGGGCGUAAAGCGCGCGUAGGUGGCUUGAUAAGCCGGUUGUGAAAGCCCCGGGCUCAACCUGGGAACGGCAUCCGGUACUGGCAAGCUAGAGUGCAGGAGAGGAAGGUAGAAUUCCCGGUGUAGCGGUGAAAUGCGUAGAGAUCGGGAGGAAUACCAGUGGCGAAGGCGGCCUUCUGGACAGACACUGACACUGAGGUGCGAAAGCGUGGGUAGCAAACAGGAUUAGAUACCCGGGUAGUC
rnacentral:rRNA from 1 species